rnacentral:rRNA from 1 species
GAUGAACGCUAGCUACAGGCUUAACACAUGCAAGUCGAGGGGCAGCAUGACGGAAGCUUGCUUCCGUUGAUGGCGACCGGCGCACGGGUGAGUAACGCGUAUCCAACCUUCCCAUGUCCACGGGAUAGCCCGUCGAAAGGCGGAUUAAUACCGUAUGAGGUCACAUGCGGGCAUCUAAGUGUGACGAAAGGUUUGGCGGACAUGGAUGGGGAUGCGUCCGAUUAGCUAGUUGGCGGGGUAACGGCCCACCAAGGCGACGAUCGGUAGGGGUUCUGAGAGGAAGGUCCCCCCACAUUGGAACUGAGAUACGGCCCAGACUCCUACGGGAGGCAGCAGUGGGGAAUAUUGGGCAAUGGGCGCAAGCCUAACCCAGCAACGCCGCGUGAAGGAAGAAGGCUUUCGGGUGUAAACUUCUUUUGUCAGGGACGAGUAGAAGACGGUACCUGACGAAUAGCCACGGCUAACUACGUGCCAGCAGCCGCGG